rnacentral:rRNA from 1 species
UACGGAGGGAGCUAGCGUUGUUCGGAAAUACUGGGCGUAAAGCGCACGUAGGCGGCGCAGCAAGUCAGGGGUGAAAUCCCGGGGCUCAACCCCGGAACUGCCUUUGAAACUGCAGUGCUAGAAUCUUGGAGAGGCGAGUGGAAUUCCGAGUGUAGAGGUGAAAUUCGUAGAUAUUCGGAAGAACACCAGUGGCGAAGGCGACUCGCUGGACAAGUAUUGACGCUGAGGUGCGAAAGCGUGGGGAGCAAACAGG